AUGUAGCAGAGAAGGGGACCAUCACAGAAGAGAGGGGCUUCCAGAACCCCUGCAGCUCUGUGGCUUUAUCUGAGUACUGACCUGCUCCUGUUACUUGCUCCUGGGUUACAUUUCCCACGGAAGGUCAGCCAGACGGCAACAGGGCAACAGGCUUUCUGUCUCUUUUGUUCUCUGCGGCACACAGAGUGGCGUCUGACACACAAGAUAUGAAAAUUGGCUGCAGCUUGUCCUCAAUUCUUCUUUCAAGGCCGUGUUCUUUGCCAUGCAUCAGAUUUAAUGGAAACGCUAGUAAAGGGAUGGAAAUGUCUCGGGUUAUUUCAUUACCAUAGAAGCAACAUAAAAGCCCACACCUCCACGUAACUUAGAUAACCCUGAAACUCUACCUGGGAGGCUUGUGUGGGAAAUCUCGUCCCCUCACAGACUUCCUGAGGGCUUCCUCUCAAGUCGAAGUUUGAAGAGAGCAUCAUUGCUUGACAAUAAAUAUUUCUCAAGC
rnacentral:lncRNA from 1 species